CUCAGGUAACAUUAGCAGCUACCUAACCCUUACCUACACUUAUGUUUGCAGUGCAUGAUUUCUGAUAACAUGCCAUUGCAGAUACUCACCUUAUGUUAUCCAUAAUAGGUUACAAGACGGCAGGAACAGCUGGAUGAAAGGCCUCCCUGUAUGAUAGACCAUCCAGGUGUAGAACCGGUUUGUCUAAAUGUGUUCUCGCUGCAGAACGCAUUCAACAUUUACAGAGCUGACGACGGUCCUUUGCGACUACGGGGGAUAGUGCAUCGUUACAGGUAUUUAGCCUAUAGAAAUUUUGUGAGCUGGUGCUGGGGCUUCCUUGGGCGGAAGAUAUGGGUUGUUAUCCCAUCAUGCGUUGUUCUUCGUAUACACCGGGAGUUUCCUGACGCCCAUGGAAGAUAAGGAGGCUUCAAACCACCCUCCCUUGAUUGAAUCUGGAGACGUAGCUGGCGAUGACCUCCUCCUUGUCUGGAUGCUCAUAUUCUGAAGACAGUUCCGGCAGGAUGUUUAUCUUCAGAAUCUCUGCUCUGUACGAUGCUGGGUCGACAAAGACCUUCUCCAUGAUCAUGUGUGUCCAUCAAAUCAUUCACAUACUCUGUGCAACACACACAAAAGGGAAUCACUAGUUACUAGAUUAUUCAACAACUGUUCAUGCAUUGACAUUUUGCACUUUGAAUAUUUGGUAUAUUUUCAGGUAUUUAUGUGCAUUUAUUUGUUUAUUUUAUUGUGUUGGAGUUUGUCUCAUGUACUUUGUCUCAUGUUCAAUAUAAAUGUUUAUUUUCUGAGUAAAAUUAAAAGUUGACACUUACGGAA